GGGAAUAUUGGACAAUGGGCGAAAGCCUGAUCCAGCCAUGCCGCGUGUGUGAAGAAGGUCUUCGGAUUGUAAAGCACUUUAAGUUGGGAGGAAGGGCAGUAAGCGAAUACCUUGCUGUUUUGACGUUACCGACAGAAUAAGCUCCGGCUAACUCCGUGCCAGCAGCCGCGGUAAUACGGAGGGAGCUAGCGUUGUUCGGAAUUACUGGGCGUAAAGGGCGCGUAGGCGGUUCGCUAAGUCUGAUGUGAAAACUCUCGGCUCAACCGGGAGCCUGCAUCCGAUACUGGCGGGCUAGAGUGCGAGAGGGGAAAGCGGAAUUCCUGGUGUAGCGGUGAAAUGCGUAGAUAUCAGGAGGAACACCGGCGGCGAAGGCGGCUUUCUGGAUCGCAACUGACGCUGAGGCGCGAAAGCUAGGGGAGCAAA
rnacentral:rRNA from 1 species